GCUCUUCAAAAACUAACUGUUGGGGCUUAUAUUGGAAAGGCUGGGCAACCGGCUAUGGCAAUAAACGGCUUCGUAAUAAGCGGCCCGGACCCGGGGGCGGUACCCGGCGCCUCCACCACAAGCCCAUUCUCAAGGAAUGGGUUUCUGUGGGGGCGAAACAGGAUCGACGGACGUGUAAAGGCUGUCCUUUUGCUCGGUAUGGUUCCGCCGUUAUCGGGCUAAUCGUAUAAGUGCCAACGAUAACGAAAUGGUACUCGCUGCCUAAUUGAUUAGGUAAGCGCGGUUCGGGGAGCACCGGGCAACAGAAGCUCCCCACU
rnacentral:tmRNA from 1 species